GCCGGGGUGGCGGAAUUGGCAGACGCACGGGAUUUAAAAUCCCGCGGACAUUUUUGUCCGUAUCGGUUCGAGCCCGAUCCUCGGCA
rnacentral:tRNA from 2 species